AAUGAACGCUGGCGGCAUGCCUAACACAUGCAAGUCGAACGAAGCCUUCGGGCUUAGUGGCGCACGGGUGCGUAACGCGUGGGAAUCUGCCCUUGGGUUCGGGAUAACAGUUAGAAAUGACUGCUAAUACCGAAUGAUGUCGUAAGACCAAAGAUUUAUCGCCCAGGGAUGAGCCCGCGUAGGAUUAGCUAGUUGGUGUGGUAAAGGCGCACCAAGGCGACGAUCCUUAGCUGGUCUGAGAGGAUGAUCAGCCACACUGGGACUGAGACACGGCCCAGACUCCUACGGGAGGCAGCAGUGGGGAAUAUUGGACAAUGGGCGAAAGCCUGAUCCAGCAAUGCCGCGUGAGUGAUGAAGGCCUUAGGGUUGUAAAGCUCUUUUACCCGGGAUGAUAAUGACAGUACCGGGAGAAUAAGCUCCGGCUAACUCCGUGCCAGCAGCCGCGGUAAU
rnacentral:rRNA from 1 species